rnacentral:rRNA from 1 species
UGAGUACGAGAUGCUACGGCGUCGAAGCAGUGUAUGUCAGACUUCCAAGAAAAGCUCGCAAUGUCAUAAAUAAAUAAUGCCUGUACCAUAACCGACACAGGUGGGUAGGUAGAGUAUACUAAGGGGCGCGAGAUAACUCUCUCUAAGGAACUCGGCAAAAUAACUCCGUAACUUCGGGAGAAGGAGUGCCUUAUUUUAUAAGGUUGCAAUAACAAGAUCCAAGCAACUGUUUACCAAAAACACAGGUCUCCGCUAAGUCGUAAGACGAUGUAUGGGGGCUGACGCCUGCCCAGUGCCAGAAGGUUAAAGAAGUCGGCUAGCUUUGCGAAGCUGAUAACUGAAGCCCUGGUGAACUGCGGCCGAACGAUAACGGUCCUAAGGUAGCGAAAUUCCUUGUCGGGUAAGUUCCGACCCGCACGAAAGGCGUAAUGAUUUGGAUACUGUCUCGGAGAGGGACUCGGUGAAAUAGACUUGUCUGUGAAGAUGCGGACUACCUGCACCAGGACAGAAAGACCCUAUGAAGCUUUACUGUAACUUGAAAUUGAAAUUGGACUUUAUUUGCGCAGUAUAGGUGGGAGGCGUUGAAAAUAAUCUUGCGGGAUUCUUGGAGCCAUCAGUGAGAUACCACUCCUAUAAUGUUAGAUUUCUAUCUUUGUAUCAUAAUCUGGUCAAAGAACAGUUUCAGGCGGGCAGUUUGACUGGGGCGGUCGCCUCCCAAAUGGUAACGGAGGCGUACAAAGGUUUCCUCUGAACGGGUAGAAAUCGUAUCUAGAGUGUAAAGGCAUAAGGAAGCUUGACUGUGAGACCUACAAGUCGAGCAGGGACGAAAGUCGGUCUUAGUGAUCUGACGGUGCUGAGUGGAAAGGCCGUCACUCAACGGAUAAAAGUUACUCUAAGGAUAACAGGCUGAUCUCCCCCAAGAGUUCACAUCGACGGGGAGGUUUGGCACCUCGAUGUCGGCUCAUCGCAUCCUGGGGCGGUAGUACGUCCCAAGGGUUGGGCUGUUCGCCCAUGAAAGCGGUACGCGAGCUGGGUUCAGAACGUCGUGAGACAGUUCGGUCCAUAUCCGGUGUAGGCGUUAGAAUAUUGAGAGGAGCCUUCUUUAGUACGAGAGGACCGAGAAGGACAUACCUCUGGUGUACCAGUUAUCGUGCCAACGGUAAACGCUGGGUAGCUAUGUAUGGAGAGGAUAACCGCCGAAAGCAUCUAAGUGGGAAGCCCACCUCAAGAUGAG